rnacentral:rRNA from 1 species
CCGUACUGACGCUGAGGCUCGAAGGUGCGGGUAUCGAACAGGAUUAGAUACCCUGGUAGUCCGCACGGUAAACGAUGGACACUCGCGGUCGGGCAUUUGUGCUCGGCCGCCCAGCGAAAGCGUUAAGUGUCCCACCUGGGGAGUACGCCGGCAACGGUGAAACUCAAAGGAAUUGACGGGGGCCCGCACAAGCGGAGGAACAUGUGGUUUAAUUCGAUGAUACGCGAGGAACCUUACCCGGGCUUGAAUUGCAGGUGCGACCGGCGGAAACGCCGGGUCCCUUUCAGGGCGCCUGUGAAGGUGCUGCAUGGUUGUCGUCAGCUCGUGCCAUGAGGUGUCGGCUUAAGUGCCAUAACGAGCGCAACCCCUCUCCUCGGUUGCCAUCAGGUGAUGCUGGGCACUCCGGGGACACUGCCAUCGCAAGAUGUGAGGAAGGUGGGGAUGACGUCAAAUCAGCACGGCCCUUACGUCCGGGGCUACACACGUGUUACAAUGGGGCAUACAGAGGGAAGCCACCCGGCGACGGGGCGCGGAUCCCGAAAGUGCCCCCCAGUUCGGACCGGAGUCUGCAACCCGACUCCGCGAAGCUGGAUUCGCUAGU